CUCUGCUGUGAUCUGAAGAAAAGGCAGGUGAAGUAAAAGUGCCAUAAGACAGAAGGCUGGGAAGAUGCACACCCCUUGGGUAAGGCUUUGGCAUGUGUCAGCUAUUGUGCCUCACUGCACGGGCAGACAAGACCUUCGGGACACUGAAGAGAUGACAUCUCAGCAAAGCAUGACACAAGGGAUCAUACAGUCAUACAAGAGAAGAGCAAAACUGAAGGAGUAAAAGCUUUUGUGGUAUAAAGAAGCGUGGAAAGGGGAUGGAACAGCUUGUGGAAAGGUGAUGGAACAGCUUGUUCUAGAUGCCAUCUCCAAGCAAUUGGAAGAGAAGAAGGUCAUCAGAAAUAGUCAGCAUGGAUUCACCAAGGGAAAAUUGUGCUCAACCAACCUCGUAGCCUUCUAUGAUGGCAUCACCAGCUGGAUAGAUGGGGGGAGAGCAGUGGAAGUUGUCUACCUUGACUUCAGCAAGGCUUUUGAUACUAUCAUCUCCCACGACAUCCUGAUAACGAAGCUGAAAAAGUGUGGGAUAGAUGAGUGGACGGUGAGGUAGGUUGAGAACUGGUGACUGGCCGAGCUCAGAGGAUGGUGAUCAGCGGUGCGGAGUCCGGUUGGAGAUCUGUGACUACCGUUGUUCCCCAGGGGGUGGUGCUGUUUCCGGUCUCGUUCAACAUCUUCAUCAAUGACCUUGAUGAGGGGAUAGUGUCCACCCUCAGCUAGUAUGCUGAUGAUACAAAGCUGGGAGGAGUGGCUGACAUGCCAGAAGGCUGUGCUGCCAUUCAGCAAGAUGCAUACUGUGCACAGCCACCACAUAGCAUCUGCACCAUUCUCCCUCUCCACGAAGGAGGAGCAGCUCAGCAAGCUUGGUCUGGGCCAUCAAAGGGAACAUCGAAACAUCUGGAUUGUUUUCUGCUGUUUGUCUCACAUCCUUCUGGAAAGAAAGUAGGAGGAGACAGAGCUCAGAUUUGAUCCCAUUGUGUGUGAUGAUGAAUGCCAAGGGGCAGAAGUUAGUGCUUAGGCAGGGGAGAGGCUAGGCAAGCUGAGCAUUGUAGAGCAACGAGAUUAAAAUAGAGCUCAUUCUAAGUGGCUGUUCAGCGCUUUGCAGGUAUUGAUCUUGCAGCGGGAUCUGUCUGGCCACAGGACCGUGGUUGGAUACAUUGAUUCCAGUAGAAACUCAGUAAACAGCGGCAACCUGUGCAAAGCGCUGACAGGAAUGCUGAACACUCUGCUAAGGAACAAAGCAUUGAGCAAAAAGGAUGCUUGGGCCAGGUGACCGCAGAAGUCUGGCUGUUUUGGAUGGUGGCAACUGAUAGAAUCAGGUUUUCUUGGGACUGCUGAGCUUUUGAUGUGUUUUUACUACCACGUGUUGGGCCUGUUUGCUUGUAGAAGGAAGACUGUUAGGUGUAGUUUUCACAGAGAACUUCUGUUAUGAUUUCUUUAUGAUUUUAAUCCAAAAUAUCAGGAGUGUUGCAAGAAAGGGCCCUGCCAAUGCUGGUGGGGCAAGGUGGUGAACCUUGUGAAUGAAUGCCUGCAGAUGGGGUUUCAGAGAAGGAGGUCCUGCAGGUUUUCUGUGACACCCAUGAAGUUGUAGCGAGGCUGCAUCAGUGUAAAACACCAGGAAUCCACAGAGAUCUGAAGCUUUUGCUCCCGGAAGAACAGAGCAGUGACAAGGAACGGCUGCAGAUUCGAGGAACUUGUCUGCCUUGUUCUGAUCUCUUGCCAGCGUGUCAUGCAUAGGCUGAUGGCCAUGGCAUGCAACAAGAUCAGCUGUGGCCCUAACCUGGCAUGGACAGAGGAGAAAAUGUAACGACAUGCAACCGUUUCGGUGAGACACGUUGCCAUGUGCAUUAUUAUAAAUGGAUUUUAGUACAUUAGUUUUAGGCAUGUUGCCUGUCUAGAGAGGAUAACUGAGAAAGUAAAUGCAGGACAUGCCUGAUCCAAAGGAAAUGCAAUAAAGUAUUUCAGUUUAUUAAAAGAAGUUCAAUAUUUUUACAAAUAUUCAAUUUGUAUUCCUGGCUUACAGUACAUCAUUUAGAGUGAUCAUAGAGUUUUUGCUUAUUACAAAACCUGUAAUUCUCUAAAUUCUUUAAGCAUACCCCUUUUGUUGUUAUAAACACUUGAUAUAGUAAAUUUCAGCCAUGAACAAAAAGCCAGGGCAAGGUCUUGCCACAAGCAUGUUACUCAGUGCCUCAUUUUGUUUUAAAUGAUGGGGUAAACUUCAUUCUGAAUAUAGUGUUGUAAUAUUGUGGUACUUUUGAUUUGCAUGUCUUACUCUUAUCUCCUGGGAUUUCAGAGAACUAAUUCCUUGGAUCAGGCAGUGAAGUUACAGUGGUAAAUGGAGAUGGGUUAGUUCAUCUUGAUACAAAUAAAAAGAACCCUCUCCACAUGCUAUACUGCAAUGUGUAUUGUCUCCUAUUUUGAAGGUGAUGACAAGAAAAACACAAUUUCUUACAAGACUAUCUAGCCAUACUCUACUGAAUGAUAGGUAAAGUGCUUUUUCAUACAGUAUGCUGACUUUCUCCAUAUUUCAGUAUGAAAAAAGAUUCAAUUUCUAAGUCCAGUUUAUAAAAUUUAAUUAGAACUUUUAAAUCCCAUUUAGUAGAUUAAAUUUAUUGCAGACUACAGUGACUGCUGCUGUUUUCUGCUGUUUCAGAUCUUCUAGGUAUACAGAUAAUAUAGUCUUUGUGAACCACAGAUCUCAAAAUAAGUGUUUGUAAUAUGUAUUAGCUAAGAGGCUGAGUACAGUUCAGUCCCACCCCAAAUCUCAGUUUUCUUUGCCUCAGUUUAUUUUGCCUUUUCUGCCUUCUAGAGUCUCUCUUCUUAGGAAGGAAGGCAUGCCUCUGCCCUUCUGCCCCUCUCUCCACUACAUUUAUUCUACCAAGAACUGGUUUCCUCUAGACACUGUCUUCUGGAUCUCUUUGUUUGAGGCCUUGGGAGUUGGUGGGGUUUGUUCAUUUUUUAAUUUGUUUGUUUUUUCCAUUUUUUUAUUUUUAUAGGUAGUCCCUGUGGCGACUGAGCUUUCCUGUAUUCUUGCUCAACUCUGGCUAUAAACAAGAUGGUUUACAAGAUGGUGUGGUUAAGACUAGAGGUGUGAGAUACUUCAAUGGCAAAGUUUGGCAAGGGUUUAUAAAAGGACUUUAUUACAUUCUAUAUAUUUUUUUACCUGAACCUUACAUUUAUUUUUUUCCAAAUCUUUCCAUCCCCGCAGAUUUUGAUGUUUUUGACAAUAAUGAAAUCCAAAACCUGGCACUUUGUUUGAUUGUUGACUCAUUCUUUUUUCUCACUAAAUAGAAAUAAGUUUUAGGGAGGACUGAAUCUAGGGGAAAUGAUGUGAACUGAAAGAAGUAGGUUUUGCACAGUUAGAAUAAGAGCUAUGACUCACAUGCAAAAAGCAAGAAAGGGGAACUCAGAGCAAGAAUAACUCUGCUAGAAUGGUUUUACACUUUCGGAGAAUAACAACAUCCUCAAAUAAACUAGUUCAGUGUGUGUAAACCUACCUCCAUUUCUUCUCUGUAUUUGGAACACUUACUCACUGUAUUCCAGAGAUAAGCAGAUGUUUUGGGAGCUUUCAAGGGUACAAUAAAGUGUAAGAAUACUUCAGAAGCCUCUAAACAUUUGAAGAUUUUAACCAAGCUUGAACCAGACAGUCUGGAACAUGUCUAUCACAAAUUAAAGCCAUAAUGAAAGAGAUUUUAAAAGAUAUGGCUCCUUUCUUUGUGUUUUCAAAUAAAAAUACUCAUUGGCUUUCCUUUGUGCAGGAGUGUUUGGCUAGAAUUCUUAGGGGAAAACUGAGCCAAAACACAUGCUAGUUUACUGAGAUACUACUAGGUGAAUGAAUAAAUAAUGGAUAGAUAAAUAAUUGAGUCUUAGACAUUUUUGAUGUUGUAAACAAAGAUUGAAAGUAGUCAUUGGGGAAAUUUUGUUCAUCUUAUCUAGUACUCAGGAUUCAUUCUGUAACAAAUAUUUUCUUCUGAAGUGACUGUGUGAAUAAGCACAUAUCAGCUGUAUUAAUGCCAUUUGUAUUUCACAGCUGUAGAUAAUGCAAGCUGGGUGUUGUUUUGGCCUGGUACAGUAUAUCCUGGGCUUAAAAAGGUUCUUAAAACAUUAACCUGUCAUCCAAUCUUUCUAUCUGCCCUCAUUAAGGCUGUAUAAAAAGUAAAUAAGAACACAAUAUUCCAUUAUGUUCCAAUAUGGGUUAAUAUAAAAUCAGUCACAUGUAUUCCAAACUGUGAACCAUAGUGGCAGAUAGGAAGCACUGGGUUGCAGGGCUAGCUUUGAUGAGACUCGCCUCAUCAGGAAGGAGGAAAGCAGGUUUUUUGCAUUCCACAGGCUUUUCCCCUCAUCACUGUGACAAAAACAGAUUCUCUUGUGCUGUUUCACUUUCCACUAUAAGAGACAGCAUACUGAGACCCAUUCCACUGGGGAUCAACUUCCUUACCUGUGUGUGAGACCCAGAGCCUGACCUCCAUCUCCCACAGCCCAGUGAGCAGCUCUAACCUCAUGUCUAUUCUGAACUCAAUUUUUCUCCAUUUGCUGCAGAAAAGGUACCAAUCAAUAGUUAAAUAUUCACAAGCUCUUUGUAUCAAAACACAUGUAAGAUCAGUUAGGCAACUCAAUUAACAUUUCUCUUUUAGUUCUAUCAGAUGGUAAAAUGAAGAUAAGAUGUUUGGGAACAGCUCUGAUUUGAUUGUUGGGCCAUCCUGUAAGAGACGAUUCUUAAUAGCAGUGGUAGCAACUUGUGGGCUGACCUAAUUCCUGCCUGGAUGACUCUCUAACACCCACUGCUUUCAAUCUCCCUGUCACAUCACAAGAGAGAGGUGAACCCAUAGCUCAAGGCAUUGUGUGGGAAGAAUUUUUACAGGCACAUUAACCUAUAAUCUCUGGCAAAUAUGCCACAGCAUUGGCACCAUUAUUCUCUGUGCUAUGUGGUAGCUCCUCUGUCACUCUCUGAGCCCUGUGAAAUCAGUGUUACAGUGCAGGAAUGCAGUGUUGGGGGAAGAGAGGACAAAAAGUAAUGCCUCCCCCUCCCAGGCUCGUAUCUCGGUGGUCCUUCCUUGGUAGGGCGUUACAUAUUUCCAUCUCCAAAUUGCACUUCCCCUUUAGGGGAAAAGGUACAAGCUAAGAGCCUUUGAAGGUGGGAAUGAACCCAUAUCAAGAACCUGUGGAGUGAGUAGAUAUCAUAAUUCCCUAGCCAUUCAGUUAAUGAUAAAUCUUUUAUUGAUGACAAAAGAAAGCAAUCUGUUGAGGUUUUGGGUCUGCAAUGAGCUUUGGACUGCAAAGACAACUGAGAGUUCUGUUUCUGAAAUGACAUUUUGGGAGUAAGAGUGAAAAAAACAUUUCUGGAAGCAGUAAACCAUUAACUACAGUCAGUGGAAAAUGGAUAUGUAUGCUUACACACAGUAUUUAUAUACGUGUGUGUAGUCUGACAUGCAUGCAUCUUUAUAUGUACAUGUAUUUCAUACAGUGUGUAUGUUUCAGGCAGCAAAUCACACAAGUAGGAGUAUCAGCAUGUUGAAACAAGAUAUUUUGCUCUUUCUUCUUGCUAGAAAGAAAAACACCACAACUUUGGAACAGAUUGGACUUCUUUUUUCUGUUCUCAGACAUUGCUGUCUUUCUGCUGUAAUAUUUGCUAUUCCUACUCCUAUCAAGUGUUCCUCAUCUCUUCAGAAAACAAUUAGAAACAACUUGGGUGAAAUGCACUAAAGAAAAAUACACUUCCAAGGAAAAAGGACAUUAAAAGUGUUGUAGAUAAUUUCAUCCUCUUAGAACAAUGGGCUUGUAUCAAUGUGUUUGGAAAACCUACGGGGUUUAUGGCAUUCAGUUUCAGGAAAGAAAGACAGUGUCUUUUGUGUUACUCACAUUUACCUGCCAAGACUUUUAUGAGAGAUCAGAGACAAUAAAAGAGACAAAAAAAUACAAACAGACUAUUUUGUAUAAUCUUAGAGGUGAACUAGACGGAAGCAAAAAUUGCUGAGUCUCUGAAAAUCAGGACAAAUUUGCUUAGGUCCAUUACUUGCAUCUUCUCACACAAUUGAAAAUUUGGCAAGAGUCCAUUAAAUAUCUUGUGAAGAUAGCAACAAAUCUGAAUCUGUUUCAAAAUAUUUCUUCCUGGAGGUUUUUCUGUUGGAAAUCUCAGGAUAUUUAGCAACUAUUUUUAGCAUGGGAACUCAGGCAGUAACAGCUAGUAGUCUGUGGAUUGUAGGGUAAACCGUUGGUUUUACAUCUGUCUUCUAAGAGAGUCAGACUGUGCACACAAUGGAUAUAAUGAGAUGAGGUGGGUUUCGGACACUGUAAAAAGCAUUCCUUCCUACUUGUACUCCUCUCUUUUAGAAUGUAGGUCAUGUACAAUACAUGGUGCAGAGUCAUUGAUGUAAUUGCCAGGUUUUCAUCAUGGUGUUAUGAUUCAUCUAUAAAGAGUCAGUUAUUGGAAAACCUGGCAAAUAGCAACUCUUUUUUUAGACCAGUCUAAGACUAUAAGUAAGUACCCCACCUAGAUACAUUCAUCAUGAUAAAAUACUGAAAUAGUGCAUUCACUUUGAAAUUCUCAAAAUCAGUGGUAUUCAUUAUUCCUUAAACUUGAGGUCAUUUGCAUGCUCAUCAUCAAUCUGAACUGACAUUUUUCAGUGCUGUUCAUCUGAAAAAUAUUCCCUGAUUCUUGCAGCAAAGUGUAUUGUACUAUGCUACCUUGAAAUGUCUGAACUUUACUUUGUGCAAAGAUUAUAUGUAUAGAAUAUCUUCAUAUUUACAAAUGCACCCUUAAUUACAAUGCUUCCAAGCAAGGACAAUGUAAGUGCUUUUUAUUUGGGAAGGAGUAUCAUAUUAUAUACAUGGAAAAAAUACAGGAACUUUCUUGAAAAUGUUAAUUGAACUUUAUUAAACAGCUAACAGGAGAGAACUAGGAGGCCUCAGUUUUACAGCAAAUAUAAGGCUGGCCUUUUGCAUUUCCCCUUCACAAAGAAAAAGUAUAACCUACUUGGCAUCAACUUCUGAUGAUUAAUUUAUAUAGCAUUAGUAUGAAAGGGCUGUGUGAAGCUAUAUUUAAGGAAUGCAAUUAGUACUGAUGAAAAAGUGCUUUUGAUGCCUUCUGACCAAUGUGUUUUUGACAAUUGUAGGAGUGCUAGUUUUUAAAAGGAAAUAUACAUAAACAACCUUCUUGAGGCAAAACUGUUGGAGAACAACAGGUAUUAUAAAAAACAAUUAGUAUGAAAAUAAAUAGCAAGAUAAAGUGUUCUUCUUUUACAUGGUAUCUAAUUAAAAGUGAUGAGGAAAUGUAUUGCAAUUCAGCCUCAGCAUUAUAUAUUCCAGUUACAAGGAAGACUGAAGCCACUUUUUCAUAUAGAGAAGUCUAAAUUCAAAAGAAUGGAAGAAUAGUUUAGAGCCUAGAAAUCCCUUUUUCCCUCACUCUGCUUCUUGCUAAAAUGGUAUGUGCUGGACAACAAUGACAGCUUGAAUAUUGGACCUGGACCACAGAGCACAAGGGCAGAGGGAUUUUGUUGCUAUGCUUAAGUGUUUGGGAUGCUUGACAUAUAUAUUAUAUGAUACUGCACAAAUAUCUGCCUGAAUACUGUUUUUUUUCUGUAAAGAAGCAAAUUAAAUGGCGAAUUAGACAA